rnacentral:rRNA from 1 species
AAGAUUUUAAAGGUCGAACAGACCUAGUUUAUAAGCAUCUACACCUUAAAAACUAAUCUUAAUCCAACAUCGAGGUCACAAGCUUCUUUUUCGAUAUGAACUCUCAAAAGAAAUUAUG